UACGGGGGGGAGCAAGCGUUGUUCGGAAUCACUGGGCGUAAAGGGCGCGUAGGCGGCUUUAUAAGUCGGGGGUGAAAGCCUGUGGCUCAACCACAGAAUUGCCUUCGAUACUGUAUGGCUCGAGACCGGAAGAGGUAAGUGGAACUGCGAGUGUAGAGGUGAAAUUCGUAGAUAUUCGCAAGAACACCAGUGGCGAAGGCGGCUUACUGGUCCGGAUCUGACGCUGAGGCGCGAAAGCGUGGGGGAGCAAACAGG
rnacentral:rRNA from 1 species